UACGAAGGGGGCUAGCGUUGCUCGGAAUCACUGGGCGUAAAGGGUGCGUAGGCGGGUCUUUAAGUCAGAGGUGAAAUCCUGGAGCUCAACUCCAGAACUGCCUUUGAUACUGAAGAUCUUGAGUCCGGGAGAGGUGAGUGGAACUGCGAGUGUAGAGGUGAAAUUCGUAGAUAUUCGCAAGAACACCAGUGGCGAAGGCGGCUCACUGGCCCGAUACUGACGCUGAGACGCGGAAGCGUGGGGAGCGAACAGG
rnacentral:rRNA from 1 species